UUACGAAACUUACAAAAAAACAAAAAACACUCAUUUUUCUCAAGAAAACUAUGUAGAGAGAGGAAAAACGAAAAAAAGAAAAACGAAGAGAAAUUAAGAAAGGGAGGUCGGAGAAAGAUAAAGAAACUAAUCUAUUCUAGAGAGAGGAAAUCUAGAGAGAGAGAGAGAAGAGGGAGGUUUUGCCCACAUUUUAAGAGUGAGAGAAAAUCUAGUGAGAGAAAGCUGAGAGGAAAAGAGAGAAGGAAGAAAAAAAAAAGAGUGAAUAAAGAGAGAGAAAAGCAGUGAGGAAAUUUGAAAUAGAAAUUAGGGGGAUUGAGAUUGAGAUUGAAACUGGAAUCGGAAAUCCUUCGCAGCGGUUAGAGAGAAGAGAGAGGGA